rnacentral:rRNA from 1 species
CCUACGGGUUGCACCAGUGGGGAAUCUUGCGCAAUGGCCGAAAGGCUGACGCAGCGACGCCGCGUGCGGGAUGACGCUUUUCGGAGUGUAAACCGCUGUCAGGUGGGACGAAGGUCCCGGGGAGGAAAUGCCCUGGGGAUGACGGUACCACCAGAGGAAGCACCGGCUAACUUCGUGCCAGCAGCCGCGGUAAUACGAAGAGUGCGAGCGUUGUUCGGAAUUAUUGGGCGUAAAGCGCACGUAGGCGGCCUUGUAAGACUCACUGUGAAAGCCCGGGGCUCAACCCCGGGAGGCCAGGGGAUACUGCGAGGCUGGAGACAAGCAGAGGUUGGUAGAAUUCCGGGUGUAGUGGUGGAAUGCGUAGAGAUCCGGAGGAAUACCAGAGGCGAAGGCGGCCAACUGGGCUUGUUCUGACACUGAGAGACGAAAGCUAGGGGAGCGAAUGGGAUUAGAUACCCGUGUAGUC